CGGAGGACUGAGAAGGUGAGGCAGCUCUGCACUGUGCUGCUUUCUGCCGGUUAAGUCCUCCAAGAGUGAAGGCCUGCCAAGCAGAGACGGGCCCUCUGCUGUCCUCAGAGGGCAGCGCCAUGCAGGCCGACAUCUG